GCGGAAGGAUCAUUAUCGAG
rnacentral:rRNA from 1 species